GACGAACGCUGGCGGCGUGCUUAACACAUGCAAGUCAUGGGGGCCCGCAAGGGCAACCGGCGAACGGGUGCGUAACACGUGAGCAAUCUGCCUAAGAUGUGGGGGAUAGCCGGCCCAACGGCCGGGUAAUACCGCAUACGCUCUCCUGGUGGCAUCACCGGGUGAGGAAACCUUCGGGGCAUCUAGAGGAGCUCGCGGCCUAUCAGCUAGUUGGUGAGGUAAUGGCUCACCAAGGCUUUGACGGGUAGCUGGUCUGAGAGGAUGGCCAGCCACAUUGGGACUGAGAUACGGCCCAGACUCCUACGGGAGGCAGCAGUGGGGAAUCUUGCGCAAUGGACGAAAGUCUGACGCAGCGACGCCGC
rnacentral:rRNA from 1 species